CCUUUCCUUCAUUUCAGACGCAUACAUUCAUUCCUUUCAACCCUCUGACGGCUUCGAAACUCUCACGAAUCUCUAAACUCAGGUAUAAGUACCGUGCGAAUUUAGAGGCCUUGCAUUGAAGAUGGACGAUAACCGAUAGCAACAGAAAUCUCUCAGACGCAAUAUCGCUUUUCUUUCUCGCGUUCUCGCUGCGUUGGAACUUCCUGUCGUCACUUAAUUCUUACACGUGUUUCAUGUGUUAAUAUUAGAAUACGAAAAUAUUUUACCGAACCUUCAACAUCGGUACUUCUUCAUUGCGCUAAUUUCAAUGCCAAACACGACGCAACCCACGCCGUUUCGCUUAUAUUUUCCUUCGAAAUUUCUGCAUCUAUCUUAGGCAGAUUCCUGAAUCCUAAGCUUUACGCAUAUAUGUGUAUAUGUAUAUCUAUUUGUACGAAUAGAAUGUCGUAUUCCACAGCACAUUGAGAAGGUUCUUCUCUUGCUUUGCAAACAAUUCCAUGUCGAGCUUAAUUACAGUCAUCCGUGGUUUAAUGUCUCUCGAAGUAGGAAAAAGAGGAACAGAGAGGAGUAUUUUGCAUCACGCCAUGGUAUCAGGGGCACGCAAACCUAGCCUUCUUCUUCUCUUUUUAUUUCUUUUUCCCUUUCUACUUCUUGUUAUGCGUUCGUCUUUCUCUUAUUUUUUCUAGACGGAACUGCGAGUUAACCAGCACUAAAAAUAUUUUUGCUAUAAUCAUUGUUUCAGGAACGAUAGUGCAAUGAUAACAACAGUAAUGAACAAUAUUAUAUUUCUAGGAUAGCUUUACUUUAAAAUCUCCGAACAUAACUGCGUGCGUAGUUAGAAAAAAAAAGAUAUACUUCAAACGUGUUUGAAAAUGAUGAACGAGACAUUCUCGAAGUACAAUAUUCUUGGAAUAACAAAUACAGAAUGACUGACGUAAAGCGCCAGAAGCGACCGUAGGAAGGAAGAUUUGUGCACAACGUGGAAGCAACGAAGGAAAGAAGAGUCAAAGAGUCUCACAGAGAGCGGGUGUCUCAUUAACAUUCAUAGAACUUUAUAUCCGCAGAAGAAGAUAUUAUUAUUCGGCGAAUUUUAUUCUUGGACGAUGUCAUAGUACCGCUGUAAAACGUAGCCCUACAAGAAGGCUUCGCGUCAAAUUCAUUAGAAUAUGGAAAUGAAAAUACGCUGGAUAUAAAUGGUAAACCUUGGAGAUGGCUUUACUACCACAUUACAAGAGAAUCGAACGUAGAAAAGAUGCUGGUCGAAGACCUCUUUCUCUUUCUCUUCCUCUCUCUCUCUCUCUCUCUCUCUCUCUCUCUCUCUCUCUCUCUCUCUCUCUCUCUCUCUCUCUCUCUCUCUCUAUCUAUCUAUCUAUCUAUCUAUCUAUCUAUCUAUCUAUCUAUCUAUAUAUCUAUCUCUAUCUUAUUCCUUUCUUCUUUUCGAUUUUCGACCACGAAAAACUUUCACAUAGAUGAAACCGAAGGUCGAUGUCGAUAGCAAACGUAAAUUCUGUUCAGCCUGGAUCAAUAUACGAGUGAACUUGAGAAAAUCAUUUAAUAGAAAUACAUCUUAAAGGAUUCAAUUGGAAAGUCAAAUACGAAUAUAUAUAAAGCCUAGACAGAAGAUAAAUUCGGAGAUGUACGAUGCAUUCGUUCAAUGGGGCUCGUUCCGCGUAUUCAUCCAUAAUAUUGAAAAUUACGUAUUCACUCCCGAACGAGUCAUGUAAUAGCCUUAUGUAAUAGUCAUUUCGAUUUCAGAAAAAUCACGUUUUCCAUUGAGCAAGUACCUAUUUUCUUCAUAUUUCUUCGUUUACGAAUAAUACUUAAUAUAUUGGAUCACUUUUAUAUUUCUCGGCUCAGAAUUUAUUCUUGAGAUACACACCUCGAAAUUAAUCGCGCGAGGUUAAAUUAGGUUUGAAACAAUUCGCAUUGAAUAUAGUCAAGUUAUAGUGUGUGUGUGUGUGUGUAGGAUCGAGGAGUUUUUGAUAAUACCGCUUUAAUCGAUCGCAUUGUACGUGCGCAUUUCUGUUUUUCCAACGACUCGAUAACGUAAUUUUUAAAAAAUCGUUUUUAUGGCUUUCCGUGUCGUUUCAACUUUACUUCAAAAUGAAAUGAAAUUUUCCAACUAAAUGAAAGACGACCGAAACUUUAUAACAAGGAAGUUAUAUUAUUUAUUGAGCUUCUUUGUUUAAGUUCUUUAUGAGUAUUUGUAGGUUCGAUAGAAGCAAUGAUCGAAGAACAGUUCAGUUCAUUCUACGCUGCCGUAGAGAACGGUUCGAGAUGAGAUUAAGGCGAUCGAGUAUUGUGAUCAAUACCAUUAACUUUUUUUUUUUAUAUUUCAUCUAUUAAAUGUUAAUAAAAUAUGUUAAUAAAAUAAAUUCUACAAAAUUUGAAGUGCUUCUCCGUGUUCGGAAAAUUGUUCGUCAAUUACGAAUAAUGCAGCAAAAUGUAAACAACAAUUGCGGCAAGCAUUAAAGGAAGAAUUUGCCACCAUUGCAGAUCACCAUACGGUACAUACGGUAAAGGAGUUAUCACAACGGAAUAAAAAACCUAAUGAAUCAUAUAUCACGCAUACAUAUAUAAGAUGCUUGAAAUUGCAUAAGCCGACGUAAUUAAAUAUGUUAUCAAAGGUAUUCGAUAGGAUGCUUUAAAUAAAACAAUAUUAAGCUGGGCGAAGACAAUAUAUGAACUAAAAAAAAGUUAUAUGAUUAUAAAGUUAUAAAUACGAGAUUAUAAAAAAAGAAGGAAAGUUGGGAAUGAAACAAUCGAAGUUGGAAGAAAAAAAUGAACCAAAGGAACGCGAAGGAUACGAAAAGAUGUUUCAACUGCGAGAUUAAGCAUCAUUCGGGGUAAGUGUUAUGCAAUGAAGGACAAGGAUGCUAUUUCAAUCAAUAUGAACACGUAGCUAAGUUUUGCAAGAGAAUUGUAAGUACGUCGAAAGAAACCACAUGUAUAGCAGCAAAAACAAAAAAAAAACAAAUAAAAAUCGCGGAUUUACAUUUUGUUGGCAUCAUAGAUACCGGCAGCGAUUUAAGUUUAAUAAAUCAAAAUUGUUACAAUAAAAUAGAUUGUCCGAAGUUUAAUAGUAACACAAUAAAUUUUGAUAGCUUACACGCACUAAAUAAUAGUAUGUGUGAUUCAUUUAUAAUAGGUAUUAUUAUUGACGGCGAAGUAUACGAAAUUACAUUCCACAUUGUAGAUAAUAAGAUAAUGAAACAUGCAGUCUUGAUCGGCGCCGACUAUUUAAGUCAAGUUGAACUUUACUCCGUACAAAAUCAUGUAACGAUUUAAAAACUUCCUGAAAUAUUAAAGAUUGAUGCAAUUGCAGACACGUAUCCAUCUGAUCUUUCAUAUACCUCGGAGAAGGAUGUAGAACGGAUAGCAAAAAUCGUUACAGAGAAUUAUGAACCUGAAAAGACGCGAGAAGUCCGUGUAGAAAUGAUUGAUUUAAUUAAUUUUUGAAGGAUGAAAUUCCAAUUUAUCAAAUACCACACAGAUUGUCUCAAUUAGAAAAGGAAGAAAUAGAUAAAUAGAUAAAUAUAUGAUUAGAUAAUGGUAUUGUAAAAUCUUACAAUUGCGGGUACACAAAUCUUAUCGUCUUAGAAAGACAUCGAAAUUUGUGUAGAUUUCUGAAAGUUGAAUAAAAAAAAUCAUAAAAGAUCAAUAUCCAUUUCUAUUGAUUAAAGAUCAGCUAGACCGUUUAUAAGAUGCGAAAAUUUUCAGUACACUCGAUUUAGAAAAAGGAUUUCUUCACGUUAAGAUAGUCAAAGAAAGUCAGAAAUAUACUUCUUUUAUUAUUCCAACAGGUCAAUACGAAUUUAUAUAGAUGUUUUUCGAAUUUUGUAAUUCUCCCGUUGUCUUCCAGGAAUUUAUAAAUGCCGUAUUUAAGAAUUUGAUUUUUUACCGAGUUAUAUUAAAGUGAUUCUCUUCCUAUGUGUUUGCAAGGAUUGUAUCCUAACGAAUGACGAAGACAUGAUCGUAAUCAUGUAUCAGCUUCGUGGCCCAUUUCUAAUGUUUUUGAAUCCUUGGAAAAAAUUCAAGGAUUUCUACAGUUUGCUGGAUCAGACUACGUUGUCUUACAAUUAGUUACGUAGACUAUUAGCGGAGCCUGGCAAUAACAUUUUCAAGCCUAUACACUAUAGCCUAUGAUGUAAAGCACGACGCUACGAAUUUAUUACUAUCUUUUCGUUACGUAGUUUUCUUGUUACAAGACGUAAAUAUAUCUGUUAGUUUCUUCUAAAUAAUAUUAUGAUCAUUGUAAUACUUUUAUUACAAUAAAUUGUUUUAGGCAGAUGCAAAAACAGUAAUGAACAUAACGUCAGUCAAGUAUGAGAGGAGCAUCAACGUCUAUCUAGAAAUCGUACGUUUCAUUUCUCAUACGGAAUAGGUAUUGACUUCGUACCAGCUGUUCUGUAAAAAUUGACAAUCAUAUAUUCUCUGAUAUCUCAUUAUCAGCUCAGUUCUUCAAUUCACGUGCGCCGACAGCAUGAAGGCACAACGUAGUUACAUAACAAGCAUACCCACAUAUACAUGCAAUGAAUCGAGAGAAGAGAAUCUUCUAACGCGCUUAUAAUUCAUUCGUUUUUUCCGCAUACGUCGCUGAAAUCACACGUGUCUCGAGUAACAUUGAAUAAACAGCCUUAGCUUAUAUGGACAAUAUAAUUAUUCCUUUAUCGGAUAUCAAGAUAGGAAUCGAAAAUCUUAAACACGUAUUAGAUAUGACGAGUCAGUUCGGAUUAACUGACAUAUUAACUGACGAAAGUGUGAAUUUGUACAGGCAAAGAUUUAGGACACAUUAUAGAAAACAGAAAUAUACAAUUAUCAGCUGUAAGAUGUAAGAUGUGAGAUGAACGGCGUUAUGGAACUCUCAAUCCCUAAAUACAUCAAAGAUGUAUAGAACUUUGUCAGUCUUUCUAUUUCCGUAAGUUAAUCCGUAAUUAUUCCAUGACAGCACAAUCGCUAACGAAUGUUUUGGGGAAUAACCUACAAUUUUGAUCCAGAAAAGACGAAGAAAAGCAUGUCAAGAUUUAAUGCAUGAAGCAAGGUGCUAGCUUUACAUUAAUAUAGUGCUGAAAUUGAAAGAAAGUUACAUACAGAUGCCUCAAGAUUUGGUUUCAAGAUGGUGCCAUUUUAUUACUACGCGUGUGAGAGGACUACUCUAGCUGACGAAAAGUAUGCUAGUUACGAACUUGAAGUAUGAAUGUUCAUUUCAAAAUUAUUACCGAUUGCAAGGUUUUUAUUUUAAUCAUGAAUAAACGAAAUCUGCGUAUGCGUAUAGCUAGUCGGAAUCUUGCUUUAAAAAAAUUUAAUUAUGAAAUCGAACAUAGGCCAAGAAGAUCUAUGUUGCAUAUAGACAAAAUUAUCAGCCUCGAAGCAAUGUUUCUUAGUCGAAGUACUGGUCGAGCAUCGUUCUAGUUAACGUUUGGUAGUCAUAUUCGAUUAAAAUAAAAUUCACAAGUACGCCAAUUAAUCGAAAAGGAAUGGAAACGAAUAUUUGAGGAAGAAUGUUGAUGAUGUGCGACAAAUGGCUAGAGAAAAAACUGCUGAAAUCGAGAAAAAGAAUUUUAAAACUUUUAACAAAAGACAAAAAUCAGCGUCAAGAUAUAGUGAAAAAGAUCUCGAUCGAACGAUUCGUUUGUUUUAAAUCUAUCCUUAAAAUAUUUAUUUCUUAGUGGAAUGCUACAUGCGCACUGUCGACCACUAGAUUCAAAGGAAUAUAUGAACGCGUACGUAUUUGAUCACGGAGAACAUGAAAUCACGAACGAUUCAUUGACUCGGAUCUGACUGAUUUUUUGAUUAUUCGUCGACUUGAUCGCAAAGAUUCGAAUAAAAAUCCCGUUCCAGACUAUCCGAUGAUUCAACCUUUUCACGAAUCCUUCAUAAAUAAGAAUUUUGAUCAUGGACUCUAGUUCUAUUUUGUCUACGUAAUUUAUUCAGCGACCGCUCAACGAAAUCUCAAGAACAAGGAUUUUAGUUCAAUAUACCUGCAGGAUCUUCAAGAAUAUGCAUACAAUAUGAUACGAGCUUAAGCCGAAUUGGAAUCGAGCGUGGUGAAAGAAUUAUCGAGGAUAGUAAACCGAUAGGAUUUAGGAAAAGAAUCCGAGAAAAAGAAAAAAGAAAUGGUAGGAACCCUUUAAAGAUCGUACAGUGGAAUAUUACAGCAGAAUUCAUGAAAAAAAUUGGACCCUCAGUCUGGUCUGAACCGGAAUUCAAAUCCGGAUCUUUUUGCUUUCCGGACGACUGCUUUGGAUCACUAAGCUAUCCACAAGCCCUCAGUCUAACCUUCUCAUAAAUGCUUAUAAAUUAAAAAUGGAGAUACUCGACCCCGCAUAUUCUUAUAGCUUUCUUGUCCCCUGAAAUCAAAUGAUAGCGGCUUAGUAACGUUGUUUUGUAUAAACAUCCACUUUGGUAAUUUACAAAGGAAAAUUCGUUUCACGUAAAAAAAAUAUUAAUUUAUUAAAUUUCACAUUAAAAAUAUUAAGAAAAAAAUAUUAAUAUUUGUGUUUAUAACAUUUUUCUAAUUAUAUAAAUAAUUGAUAAAUCUUAUACCACACGAUAAUUCUAAUUAAACGAAGUAAAUUUUGUCUGAAAACUUUGUUUUUAUAUUUUACAGUUUGCUAGUAAUACAACAUAAAAUCGGAAAAUAGCCGGAUUUUCUAGAGUCAAUUUUACACCCUUGGAGCGACUAUGAGCAGAAAAAAAAUUGCGUGCGUAUAUAUAUGUAUGCUCUACAUAUCCCUACAGUUUCAUAAUUUUCUGAAUUUACGAAUUCAUUGAGAAUUCAAUUGAGAUCUUCUCUUAUUAGAUGUUCAUCAUUAGAGUAUAACAAUUAGAACCAAUCCUGAACGUUUUAUUAGACACUCUACAAUAUGCGGAAUAUUCCACAAAUUCCUUUGUCUUUCCUCUUUUCCUACGUAGCUUCAUUUUCAAAAAAUUGUACUGCGCUGCAACAAUUCGAGAACACAGUUUACACUUCGAGAUCGCGAAAAGGUAGAAUUGUCGGAAUACGAAAACGAAAAAGGGAUGAGUGCUAGAGGAGAGGAGAAAGGUAGAAAAAAUGAAGAGAUAAAAAAUUGAGAGGAUAGAAGGGAUUCUUGCGUGGGAAUCUCAUUACCCUUUCAUGAAAGAGACGAAGCCUUCCAGCUGCGUUGAAUCGAAGAUAGUAGCUCGAAUCGAAAGAGAAAGGGGGAUGCUUUGAAGCCGGAAGGAAAGACGAGGCUAACAAGUAGAGGGGGAGGGAAGAGAGAGAGAGAGAGAGAGAAAAUACCUUUUCUGUUUCUCUUUGUCUAUCUUGCGUCGCUAGACCUUUGUUUCGAGAAGUAACGAACUACAGUUCCUAGAGACUGGUAUAUUCGAUUCUAGUUUUCUGCACCAAUAGAACUCGUGAUGAGAGCUAUGUACUAAUAGUAAUUCUCGUAUAGACAAGAAGAAGUGACCACUCCAAACUAUCUUACAUACACGUUUUGCAAUUUGUAACGCUGCUUCUCGGCUAGGUUCUCGUAUCGUCGCAUCGUUGCUCAUCGUAGACCAAUAAAAGGGAAGGAAGUAAAAGAACAAAACAACAGAUCAAUAAGAGGGAAGGAAGAAAAACAAUAGUUCUUAUAUCGUUUCAUUCUUCAAAAAUCAAAAAAAGGACAAAAAGAAGAAAAAAGGAAUCUCAGAAAGAUAUCUAUCUUCGAUUAAUCGAUAUCUACAGAACGAUCGUAAAUGCUUAUUCGUCCGUAUGAAGUAAGACGUCCGUUUCUACAAGGAAGAAAAUUCAUGUAAUAAUUUUCUAAUAGAGGAAGUAGAGAGAAAGUGGUCAAUAGAGUCGCACGGUAAAUCCAUGCGCCACGGAUGGACGAACCUUAGGUAAAUAUGUGUGUAGCCGAGCACUUGAAACGAAAAGAGAUGGUAAUAUGGAGAAAGAGAGAGAAUGAGAGAGUCUAUGACGAAGAGAUAUAGAAGAGACAACGCGCGAUUAAUACGCGCGCGAGACACGCAAACACCAACGUUGUACGUGGCUAAAGUAAAUUGGUGGUCUGUGGCUGAUGUAUGGUGGAAUGAUAUUAUGAAGAGCUCGUCGACUCAUGCAUAUUCAUCCAAAUCCCGCCUUGCGAGUAAUGCUUGCCCUAUCUGAGCAUAGGGUUUAAUGUUCAAGCAUGUCGCGAAUAGAUCCGUGGAGACUCUCGUCUAUGAUCACAUUGAUGAUUUUCACUCAUUUUGUAAAGUUACAAAAAAAUUGGCUUUUUAUUUAAUUUUUACAAUUCAAAUAAUAAUUUGAAUGUAAAAGACUAAUCUAAAAAGCUAAUAAUAUCGGUUCCGUCAAACAGUAUACUUUAACGAAAAAUUUGCAAUAUAAAAGUUCAAAACAUAAGAGAAAAAUUUCAUGUAAAUUGUUGAAUCAACGUAUCUUCUCGAUCGAUGUUCGUUCUUCAAUCAAACAAAUCCUAUGCUACCAACUAACACGCUUGUAAACUCGAGGAUGAACAAUAGUAAACGAGUUCGAUGUUCCUAGAGAAUUUUCCAAAGUGGUAGAGUUGUGAAAUUGAUCCAAGUUAAAUAAACGUAAGGACUUGGGCACCCAUAUAACAAUUUAUUUUCUUCUUUCCUAUUUUAUUGCUAUUUGCGUAUUUGCCUUCAACAUGACCGUGACUAUUUACAGAGUUACUUUUGAAUGAUCCAGAAAAAUAAGAUAACGAGAAACAUUAAAAUAGAGAUAAAAAAAAGAGAGGAGGAGAGAAGAAAUAGAAACAUAGAGAGACAGAGAGAGAAGGAGAGAGAGAGAGAGAGGAAAAAACUAUACUCCAUGGUGGUGAAGAUGAUGGUGGUGGAGUGCGAUGGCAGUUCAGCGCGUAAGCAACGGACAGGUAAUCUGCAUGUCUAAUAAUCCGGGAAUCGUUCUCGAUGCAAAUACUUUCAUACCCCCGGUGUUCUGACAUUCAGCGCAUCGCAACGGAAGAAAAGAAAUAGUAAUAGAAGAAGAAAAAGAGGAAAACGUGAAAAAGGGCAGCUUAUUGGGCGAGGGUGAAGAGGAAAGAUUAUUCCAAGAAUUUCUUCGACCACCGUGCUGCCUCGUCCUCCUUGUUGUCGUCGCACGUAGCCUUACGCGAGACUCGAGAUUCUUCAUUCCUAGUUCUCUUCGAAGGAACGUUAGAGGAAUCGACAGCUUUGUAGAAAAUGUACGACCUUUUCUUUAGCAGGUGGACAACGUCGGCAAAGAUAGAACGAGAAAUAUGCUUCUUUUAAAAAAAGGAGGAAGAAACGCGAGCGCGAAAGGGUUAUGAACCCUCUUUCGCGUGGGUCCACGGAUGGAAUGCGUCAUUAAAGACUCUCAGCAACAUGGCACUACUACCAGAGAUCAAGUCUACGGCGCUGAAGUAUUCAUAGGUAUUAUAUUCGUGUCUUUGCAGGAAGUUAUAUUUUAACGGUCGUAAAAAGCCCGCGCGUAUAUACUUGCUCUCUUGGGUUCUGAAAUAAAAAAAGGCUGUUUGUACGAAGGUACGAGCGUGGUCAUGCAAAUACAAAGGUAAAGGCGUCUUUCUCCUCGUUGCCUCAACUCCUACCGUUCUUGGCUAAGCAUUUACGAAGAAGUGUCAUUGGAAGGUGCAACUACGACAUUCAGGAAAAGGAAAAAGAAAAACUGGGAGAAGAGACGUGGAAGGAUGAACGCGCUUUGGCAUCUCUCCAAUGUGUGUCUUCGUCGAUAAAUUUGUGGGCGAUUCCAACCAUGUCAAGGACACAAAGAGUUUAUAAGAAUAUUAAUUAACGAAGCAAAUUAAAAAUGCAUUUUCUCAGCUAUUGUUUCGAAUAACGGAUCAUGGUCAAUGACAAAACGUAAGAUAAAAAAACGUUAACUCGGAAGAUCAUUGCACGAUGGCAAAGAAAUAAAAGAUAAGAAAGAAAACGAAAGGGUAAAAAGCGAACAGUUUGAAAGGACGUAAUCGCGAGCAAAGAUGUAAUCGCGAAAAGGACGCGGGUUGCAUGGAGAAGGUCGAGAGAAGGCUACAAUUCGAAUACUACUCGGGAGAUGCAGAGCUUAUGAGAUUACGUGUAGUUCGAACAAACCCGUUUUUGCCCAUCUUACGACGAUCCGUAUAUAUACCUCUCUUCGCCUCUUCUCGAAUCCUCUUUGAGUUCCUUCUGCGUGUGUCAUUUAUGCGUGCAACCCAGACGCCGAGUUAAAAAUAACAGAAGCCAUGGUAUUUAUAGCAAACCACUAGUGGCGCCACGUAUAUAUACGUUAUAAGCUAUUUUCUUUCCUUUCCUUUCCUUUUCUCUCUCUCUCUCUACAUCCCUCCUACCCCUCUCAUGGUGGUAAUGAAACGUAAUAACGAAGAUCGCACGAGCAUCUUACCUCCGAUCUUGGAAACUUAAGUUACGAACGCGUUUAUGCUUGACAAUUAUAAAUAUAUACGUGUGCAUGUUCAUGAAGGACGUAUACAUACAUAGAUACGUUCGCUUUAAGACCGGCAACGAGUAUUAAAUAAAUCUAAAGAUUGCUCCAUUCAUUAAUUCUAAAACCAUCCUACGACCAUUUUGUAUCGCUUAAAAAUCACAUCGUUAUAAAGGUACUUAGAAGGAGAAAGAUAAGAUUAAGAGGAAAGGGGAAGGGGAAUAGUCGAGACUCUCAUAUUAUCUCGGAAGAUCAGGAUUACGUGCCCACCGAAACCCGUUCUCCGUCCAUCCUCGAGAGCUACCGAACCUUUCUCAUGGCACCCUGCAGUUUCAUAUCCCUUCUCGCAUUCGCGGUUUUAACCAUCCUUCGCUUUUUCUUCGCAUCGCACAAUUCAUAGUUAAUCAUGUACCCCAGAAAUAAAAUCUGACAAAACUUCUGUAAUUUUUUUGUUCGGUCCUUAUAAAAGUUUCGUUUAAAAGUUCUUUUUUUUCUUUAAUGUCCCAUAUAACCAAUUACAAUUGAUGGCGUAUUUUACAAGUAGCACAAAACAUUGAAAAGAAAGAGAAAAAAGAUUCGAAACAGAUCGAACAAACGCCCGUAACUGUGCAACCUGCGAUGCAUGCGAGCACAGGUUAGCUGAAGUGGAGCGAUGCGGUACGUUAGACGAGGAAAGAGAGAGAGACGGAGGAAGAAGCGGGUGCAUUGCGCUCAAGCAAGUGGCCUUGACGUGGGCCGAGUGGCGAGGGCAAGGACGACUGCUCGAGGAAGAUCUCUCUCUUUUUAUUCUCUUCUUCCCGCUCCCUCGAGCGCCAGCCACACGGCAGCAUCAAGCACGACAACGCGGUAAG